GGUCGGCUAGGCUGCUGCGGUACCUGCUUCACAGGCCGGCUAGGCUGCUGGGGAGGCUGCUUCACAGGCCAGGUAGGCUGCUGGGGAGGCUGCUUCACAGGCCGGCUAGGCUGCUGGGACAUCUGGGGAGCCUGCUUUACUGGCGGCCUAGGCUCAACAGGAUAGUAGUUUCUUACAUAGUGAGCAUCUUGCCAGUUGUCCCUCCCUUGUUCAAAGGAGCGUUUCGAUU